AUUUAACGCUGGCGGCAGGCCUAACACAUGCAAGUCGAGCGAGCGGCGGACGGGUGAGUAAUGUCUGGGGAUCUGCCCGAUGGAGGGGGAUAACUACUGGAAACGGUAUCUAAUACCGCAUACAAUCAGCUGAACCCAUAUGGGAUUAGCUAGGUGGUGGUGUAAAGUCUCACCUAGGCGACGAUCCCUAGCUGGUCUGAGAGGGUGACCAGCCUCACUGGAACUGAGACACGUCCCAUACUCCUACGGGAGGCAGCAGUGGGUAAUAUUGCACAAUGGGCGCAAGCCUGAUGCAGCCAUGCCGCGUGUAUGAAGAAGGCCUUCGGGUUGUAAAGUACUUUCAGCGGUGAGGCGUUACCCGCAGAAGAAGCACCGGCUAACUCCGUGCCAGCAGCCGCGGUAAUAC
rnacentral:rRNA from 1 species